GUGUCAGCAGCCGCGGUAAUACGUAGGGUGCGAGCGUUAAUCGGAAUUACUGGGCGUAAAGCGUGCGCAGGCGGUUGUGCAAGACAGGCGUGAAAUCCCCGGGCUUAACCUGGGAACUGCGCUUGUGACUGCACGGCUAGAGUACGGCAGAGGGGGGUGGAAUUCCACGUGUAGCAGUGAAAUGCGUAGAGAUGUGGAGGAACACCGAUGGCGAAGGCAGCCCCCUGGGCCAGUACUGACGCUCAUGCACGAAAGCGUGGGGAGCAAACAGGAUUAGAAACCCUGGUAGUCC
rnacentral:rRNA from 1 species